rnacentral:rRNA from 1 species
AUUGAACGCUGGCGGCAGGCCUAACACAUGCAAGUCGAGCGAGCGGCGGACGGGUGAGUAAUGUAUGGGGACUGCCCGAUCGAGGGGGAUAACUACUGGAAACGGUAGCUAAUACCGCAUACUAUCGGAUAACCCAUAUGGGAUUAGCUAGUAGGUGAGGUAAUGGCUAACAUAGGCGACGUGCCCUAGCUGGUCUGAGAGGAUGAUAAGCCACACUGGGACUGAGACACGGCCCAGACUCCUACGGAGGCAGCGGGGGGGAAUAUUGCACAAGGGGCGCAAGCCUGAUGCAGCCAUGCCGCGUUUAUGAAGAAGGCCCUAGGGUUGUAAAGUACUUUCAGUCGGGAGGCGUUACCGACAGAAGAAGCACCGGCUAACUCCGUGUCAGCAGCCGCGUAAUUC